UACGAAGGGGGCAAGCGUUGUUCGGAAUUACUGGGCGUAAAGGGAGUGUAGGCGGCGUAACAAGAUAGGGGUGAAAUCCCGGGGCUCAACCUCGGAACUGCCUUUAUAACUGUUAUGCUAGAGUUAUAGAGAGGAAGAUGGAAUAUCCAGUGUAGAGGUGAAAUUCGUAGAUAUUGGAUAGAACACCAGUGGCGAAGGCGAUCUUCUGGCUAUAUACUGACGCUGAGGCUCGAAAGCGUGGGGAGCGAACAGG
rnacentral:rRNA from 1 species